CGCGUAGGCGGUUUGUUAAGUCAGCUGUGAAAGCCCCGGGCUUAACCUGGGAACUGCAGUUGAUACUGGCAGGCUAGAGUACGAGAGAGGGAGGUAGAAUUCCAUGUGUAGCGGUGAAAUGCGUAGAUAUAUGGAGGAAUACCAGUGGCGAAGGCGGCCUCCUGGCUCGAUACUGACGCUGAGGUGCGAAAGCGUGGGUAGCAAACA
rnacentral:rRNA from 1 species